UACAGAGGGGGCAAGCGUUGUUCGGAAUUACUGGGCGUAAAGGGUGCGUAGGCGGCCCGCUAAGUCGAACGUGAAAUCCCUGGGCUCAACCCAGGAACUGCGUCCGAUACUGGUGGGCUUGAAUCCGGAGAGGGAUGUGGAAUUCCAGGUGUAGCGGUGAAAUGCGUAGAUAUCUGGAGGAACACCGGUGGCGAAGGCGACAUCCUGGACCGGUAUUGACGCUGAGACGCGAAAGCGUGGGGAGCGAACAGG
rnacentral:rRNA from 1 species